rnacentral:lncRNA from 1 species
AGUUCGCAACUUUUUGAUCAGUCUUCCAGGUCCGGGUCUUGGUGCCUUUCUCCCUCCAACCGCGCCAACAGUCUGCGGUGCAGAAAGUGGGAGGUGGCCUAAUUCCUCCGAGGCUGAAAGACCCCGACUCUGGGACAAAGAACCGGAAGAGGUCUAGGAAAUCUUUAGGGUCCAGCUCAGAGGCUCUCCGCGCGCAGGCCACCGCUUCCAAACUGCGUCGCUUUCUUCGGCGGGGCAAAGGACUUUCAGAUGUUGUAGCGGUGGC